UUUUUAUACCUUUUGUCCGGAAAUACCUGUCCGAGGAAUGAAUGUAUCUAGACGUAUUUUAGUUCUAGAUACAUCCAUUUUUAUGCACUUCUCGGACAAGUAUAUCCCAACGGAGGGAGUACAUA
rfam:Hordeum vulgare subsp. vulgare, WGS project CAJW01000000 data, contig: morex_contig_44077